UUUUUUUUUUUUUUUUUUUAAAUACAUAGAAUAAAAUUGUAAAUUUAUCAUACUUUUCUUUCUUCUCUUUAUUUUCCUCCCUUUCUAUCCAAACAAGAGCAAAUAAAAUCAUAAAAGGAAAAUAUUCUUUAUUUUCCACCCUUCAUUUUCUUUUCCCUCUAAAAGAUUUCCCAAACAGAGUGUAAAGAUAAAGAGAAACAAAUUCUCAAGAUACAAAGAGAAACAAGUCUCUAGAGAAACCAAUUUUUAAAAUUUUAUUAAUUCUCAAUUAUCAAUUAUAUCAUAAUAAUAGUCUUUAAUAAUAAAAUACCAAACAUAUAUUUAAAAUAUUUGUAUCACAAUCAUCGCUACCAAUGCCAAAAUUGUAACUGAGUUCAAAUGUAGGCAUCAGCAUUAAUACACAUCAUUAACUGCCACGCUUAAAAUGUUCUCGAAUAAAUCUUUCUGCAUGCAGUGGAUACUUAUCUCGAAUAUAUGCCCGCAGGCACUUAUGAUAGGAAAAGUCUAUCCAUCCACCGUCAGUUCUCACAACAAAAAGGCAUCUUGAAUGUCUAAACUGGGGGUGGCGAUCAACCAUUAUUGAGUCAAGCCCACAUCCAAUUUUAUCUUCAGAAUUUGGAUGGUAAGUGAGAAGGUUUUCUACCACAGCUUUCUCAUCUUCAGCUGUUAGAUGUUCUCCAUCCAAAUACCUAGGAGCAAGAGAAUAGUUAAAUAGAAAUGAUUAUCAUAGCCCUCAAAAUUGACCACUAAAUGCCCAAAAAUCGAACAUGCAAACAUAAUUAACAACUUAGGUUUUGUUGAAUGCACUUCAACUAAUUUAUCAAGGCAAAAAGUCAAGUCCGAAAAUACAAACUUAAGCCCAUAAAACACCUCUCAAAUUGCUUAUAUGAAAUAUUACAGCUAAUUACAAACAGCAAACUGCAUGCACUGACUAAAUUGAUGUCUACUAAAAUGAUGGGGUUAAAUGCUAGAACAGAAAACAUAACAAAAUAAAAGAUGGGACGAUCCCCAAUAUGUUAUUAAAUAGUUAGCAGUCCUCCGUUUGCAAGAAAUCCAAAGAGACGACUGUAACUAUUAGUUCAGGUCUAUGCAUAACAAUAGAGAUCUUUAGGCAACUAGUCUGCAAUAUUCAAUGAAGUUCCACAAGGUUGAAUUAAAAUUUUUGAUUUCAUUAUACUUGGGUUGGGUUCUAGCAACACUCUUAGCAUAUGGUGAUAACUUUAUUGUGCUUUUUCAACACCCAAAAAUGGACUGAAAAAUAAAAAGGGGGAAAAUAAAAAGCUCACUUAGCUUCUAAGCAAGGUUUUACUGGCAUCUAAUUGAUGAUCCCAAAUUUUUUUUCUUUGAUUAUGAAGUUAAAAGCUUAAAAGAGAGGCUUUCCCCCAAGUUCCACUCUAUAAAAACUCAAUCACCCUCAAAUUUUUCAUUCCCCACCAUUUCUUCUUUCAAUAACUAAAAAUUUCUGAUUAUCACUUCAGGCUUAUAUUUUCACCGACUAUGAAGAUGAUGGAUUAAUGGCAUUAAUCAUGCAUACACUGUACAAAAUAAAUAACUAAUAAGUGCUACGAUUGAUUAUGUUAUAACUAUUAAUAAUAUCACAAUUCUCUAGUAAUCUUAGCUAAGCCAGUGUGCACAUGAACACAUGCCUUGUGUAUAAAUCAUUUGACGGUAAAAUCCAUCGUCCGAGCAAUUACACACAGAAAUGGAAACGCUAAGUUAAUUCAAUGAACGCCUAGUGUCCGGUUUCCAAAAUUACAGCAUUUACUUCUCCUUUUGCUAUUGGGGCACGCUACGACACCGUUCCUAAUAGAACCAGAGCAACACUUCUCAACCCAGCAGAAACGCAAAAUGGGGGACACAAAAAAGACAAAGCAAGUACUUGAAAAGAAGUAGAGAGGCUCUAAACGCCAGAAUUGCAAUAUACUUAUCGCAAUUAAGCUGCUACUAAAUUUUUAAGUGAGAUGUAGAGAGUAUAACCUGUCAGAGUGGAGAAUUUCUUUGGUGAGGGUAACAAUGGCCUCUAUAUCUCUCAGAAUCUCUUCUUCCUUGUCUUUCCACUUCCGGUAAUCAGGAUCAUCCCACCUGGGGUAGUUGGGCGGGUCCCGCGCGCUCAAUACUGCCGUAGUCUUUCCGGCAGUGGAUACUUCCUCGUCCACCUUAGUUGGGUCUGCCGUAGAGCUCCACGGGUGCCGAAGUGGCGAGAGUGUUCCGGCGGCUAGGCGUUGGCGGCCAAGCCGUACGCGAAGGAAGGGAAUACCCCUAAGAAGUAGAAGCGCGGCCAUUUUGGUCCGAGUCUGCUGUCGGCCGCGUAGUGUUUUCAGUUUCGGCCUAGUAUGGUAAUGGCUGGUUACUGCGUUGACAGCGCU
rnacentral:misc_RNA from 1 species